GACAGAGGGUGCAAACGUUGUUCGGAAUUACUGGGCGUAAAGCGCGUGUAGGCGGCUCGGAAAGUCGGGUGUGAAAGCCCUGGGCUCAACCCAGGAAGUGCACUCGAAACUUCCAAGCUUGAGUUUUGGAGAGGAAGGCGGAAUUCUCGGUGUAGAGGUGAAAUUCGUAGAUAUCGAGAGGAACACCGGUGGCGAAGGCGGCCUUCUGGACAGUGACUGACGCUGAGACGCGAAAGCGUGGGGAGCGAACAGG
rnacentral:rRNA from 1 species